rnacentral:rRNA from 1 species
UACGUAGGGUGCAAGCGUUGUCCGGAAUUAUUGGGCGUAAAGAGCUCGUAGGCGGUCUGUCGCGUCGGAUGUGAAAAUCCAGGGCUUAACCCUGGACCUGCAUUCGAUACGGGCAGACUAGAGUUCGGUAGGGGAGACUGGAAUUCCUGGUGUAGCGGUGAAAUGCGCAGAUAUCGGGAGGAACACCUAUGGCGAAGGCAGCUCGCUGGGACGUUACUGACGCUGAGACGCGAAAGCGUGGGGAGCAAACAGG